rnacentral:tRNA from 1 species
ACUUGUCUAGCUCAGUUGGUAAAAUACAAGACUCUUAUACUUGUGGUCGUGGGUUCGAGCCCCACGAUGGGCA